rnacentral:rRNA from 1 species
UACGUAGGGUGCAAGCGUUGUCCGGAAUUAUUGGGCGUAAAGAGCUCGUAGGCGGUUUGUCACGUCGGAUGUGAAACCCUGAGGCUCAACCUCAGGCCUGCAUUCGAUACGGGCAGACUAGAAUUCGGCAGGGGAGACUGGAAUUCCUGGUGUAGCGGUGAAAUGCGCAGAUAUCAGGAGGAACACCGGUGGCGAAGGCGGGUCUCUGGGCCGAUAUUGACGCUGAGGAGCGAAAGCGUGGGGAGCGAACAGG